ensembl:lincRNA
CUCCCCCCUACUCCUUCUGUGUGAAUGGGGUGGGCCCCUCUCCCCUCGUCUUCAGUGUGGAUGGGGUAUCCCCCUUCUCCUUUGGCAUGCUGGCUGAAGGCGUCUCCGCUGUGGGCUGCCUCUCACUGUACUGUUUGCUCCAGAACCAGGGUAUUAUGAGGACGGGGCCUUCGGGAUCCGCAUCGAGAACGUUGUUCUGGUGGUUCCUGUGAAGACCAAGGUGAGUGUUUGUCCGUCUCUUCACAGAGUUCCUACUUUUACUGUGGGGAGAUGAGUAUCUUUGUCUUUGGAACCAAAAAUGUGCCAUAGUGGCACCAAAAUGGAGCUUCCCUCACGUCAGAAGCUUCUCUCCUUUGUAAAACUGGAAAGGGAGAGAGGCUGUAGCUCAGUGGUAGAGUCUUGGUGAGGCACAAGCAAGGUGCCAAGUUCCAUCCAAAGCACUGUCAAAAACAAUUAAAAAGUUGUAGUGAAUGGAUGACUGUGAGAUUUGGGCUGGGAGGGUAGAGGCACCUGCCACCAAGUCUGGCGACUUGAGUUUGAUCCCUGGGACCCACAUGGUAGAGAGCUGUUUUCUUACUCACACAGAGUUGAAACAAAAAGCUCAGUAAAUAGGACAAGAUAGGCCACACAGCUAAUUGACUUGGAUGGUUUACACCCCAGUAGACUCUCAAGACCCCAAACCGUAGGCUCCCCAAGUCCAGACACCCUCACGUCCUGUCCCCACCUUCUCCAUCACAACAGACAUUAUCGCUCCCCUGCCCAGUGGGAGCUCUCAGCACCCCUGUUGGCUGGUUUCUGAUAACUCAGGGGUGUGGCCAAGGUGGUGUGUGGGAAGUGGUGCAGCUGCACUAGCAUUUCUUGUGGCGCCCUGGUGACUACCUGUCAUUUCUCUGAGGGGUGCUGGGCUUGGUGGAGGAGUCCCAGCCGUUCACUGUGUAAAGGGAAUGUAACCUGCCCUUUCCUCCUCAUCCUGCAGUAUAAUUUCAAUAACCGAGGAAGCCUGACCUUUGAACCUCUAACUUUGGUUCCCAUCCAGACCAAAAUGAUAGAUGUGGAUUCUCUUACAGAUAAAGAGGGACCCGUGCCUCUUGUAGCAUCCACUGGCUACACUUCCAGGGCCUUAUCAAGGGACCCUUGAAAGCCCACGGCUGUAGUUUAUGACCAGGUAAGUAGGUUGCACCGUUGUCCUGACCAUGUGUGAAUUGGGAGGUAUUUGUCCCAGGGCAUGCUCCAUUUACUCAGGGAAGUAGUGCAUGAGGAAAAGUUAAGCAAGGCUGUUUUUUCCUGAAAGAUUUUUACUGACUCACAACCCACUUAGUGACACUGGACGCAGACCACUGGGAUAUGCCAUGUUCAG